rnacentral:rRNA from 1 species
AUUGAACGCUGGCGGCAGGCUUAACACAUGCAAGUCGAACGGUAGCAGGAGGAAGCUUGCUUUCUUGCUGACGAGUGGCGGACGGGUGAGUAAUGCUUGGGAAUCUGGCUUAUGGAGGGGGAUAACUACGGGAAACUGUAGCUAAUACCGCGUAGUAUCGGAAGAUGAAAGUGCGGGACCGUAAGGCCGCAUGCCAUGAGAUGAGCCCAAGUGGGAUUAGGUAGUUGGUGGGGUAAAGGCCUACCAAGCCUGCGAUCUCUAGCUGGUCUGAGAGGAUGGCCAGCCACACUGGAACUGAGACACGGUCCAGACUCCUACGGGAGGCAGCAGUGGGGAAUAUUGCGCAAUGGGGGAAACCCUGACGCAGCCAUGCCGCGUGAAUGAAGAAGGCCUUCGGGUUGUAAAGUUCUUUCGGUAUUGAGGAAGGUUGAUGUGUUAAUAGUACAUCAAAUUGACGUUAAAUACAGAAGAAGCACCGGCUAACUCCGUGCCAGCAGCCGCGGUAAUACGGAGGGUGCGAGCGUUAAUCGGAAUAACUGGGCGUAAAGGGCACGCAGGCGGUUAUUUAAGUGAGGUGUGAAAGCCCCGGGCUUAACCUGGGAAUUGCAUUUCAGACUGGGUAACUAGAGUACUUUAGGGAGGGGUAGAAUUCCACGUGUAGCGGUGAAAUGCGUAGAGAUGUGGAGGAAUACCGAAGGCGAAGGCAGCCCCUUGGGAAUGUACUGACGCUCAUGUGCGAAAGCGUGGGGAGCAAACAGG